CCUACGGGUGGCAGCAGUGAGGAAUAUUGGUCAAUGGACGAGAGUCUGAACCAGCCAAGUAGCGUGAAGGAUGACUGCCCUAUGGGUUGUAAACUUCUUUUAUAUGGGAAUAAAAUGUUCCACUUGUGGGAUUUUGUAUGUACCAUAUGAAUAAGGAUCGGCUAACUCGGUGCCAGCAGCCGCGGUAAUACGGAGGAUCCGAGCGUUAUCCGGAUUUAUUGGGGUUAAAGGGAGCGUAGGUGGAUUGUUAAGUCAGUUGUGAAAGUUUGCGGCUCAACCGUAAAAUUGCAGUUGAAACUGGCAGUCUUGAGUACAGUAGAGGUGAGCGGAAUUCGUGGUGUAGCGGUGAAAUGCUUAGAUAUCACGAAGAACUCCGAUUGCGAAGGCAGUUCACUGGACUGCAACUGACACUGAGGCUCGAAAGUGUGGGUAUCAAACAGGAUUAGAUACCCCUGUAGUC
rnacentral:rRNA from 1 species